rnacentral:rRNA from 1 species
GGUCACAGCCAUGUCACCCUGCAGCCCAAGACUGGUUACUCACUGAAGCUAAGCAGGGCUGAGCCUGGUCAGUGUCUGGAUGGGAGACCACUAGGGAACACUAGGUUGCUGUUGGAA